rnacentral:rRNA from 1 species
AGAGCGAACGCUGGCGGCAUGCUUAACACAUGCAAGUCGCACGGCUGGGGUAACUCAGCAGUGGCGGACGGGUGAGUAACGCGUAGGUAUCUAUCUCCGGGUGGGGGACAACUGUGGGAAACUACAGCUAAUACCGCAUGAAACCCGAGGGUCAAAGCAGCGAUGCGCCUGGAGAGGAGCCUGCGUACGAUUAGCUUGUUGGUGGGGUAAUGGCCCACCAAGGCGACGAUCGUUAGCUGGUCUGAGAGGAUGAUCAGCCACACUGGGACUGAGACACGGCCCAGACUCCUACGGAGGCAGCAGUGGGGAAUAUUGGACAAUGGGCGCAAGCCUGAUCCAGCAAUGCCGCGUGAGUGAAGAAGGUCUUCGGAUUGUAAAGCUCUUUCGACGGGGACGAUGAUGACGGUACCCGUAGAAGAAGCCCCGGCUAACUUCGUGCCAGCAGCCGCGGUAA